GAUUUAGCCGACAAGGCUACCAGAUCUAAAGUUAGCAGUUUGUGGUUAAAAAAUAAAUAAGAGUGAUUGUCAUGCCAAAAGUUACUGUUGAAGACAAAAACAGCUGAAGCUGAAACGCUUUCCCCAAUUACCUGUCCACACUUAACAACGGGAAAUGUGUGCACUGAGGUAUUGCUGACGCUGAGCUGUCACAAUUCUUCACCGAAAUCGACUAUUAAAGAAUUAAUUGCAAAAAGUUGAGAUAUAUUAUUAAUAAACUUAACGACAACCGUUAUUAAACAUAAACCUUAAAAAAAAUUCAAACGCUGUAUAUUACAUCAUAACUUUCAUGCCCACAUCAUGUGUACAUAAAUAUCUUGACAACAUAUGCUACAAUCGAAAAAUAUCAUCUAACCAAAAUCUAAAAAGUACAAUAAAAAUAAAAAAAAAUUUCAACAAAUCUACAAGAAAACAAUAAACAACCGGAAAUAAAAAUCAAUAUCUCUUGAAGUACUGUAUUCUAUGUGCCAUCAAUAAAGGAUAACAACAAUAAAAUAAAAACAGGACAGAUAUACCGUAAUUAUAGAAGCUUAAAGCGAGUAUUAGUGAUAGAAAAGUGACCGAGUCAAACUUUAGCAGAACAUAAUACAAACAAUCCCUCCAUUUAAGCACACUACAACAUAAACAUUAUCAUUGCAACAACUAUUGUUACUACAACUAUUAUCUACUACUUAUAUAAGCUAACUAUUUUAUCAUCUAUACGGAGUAUAAAUUAAGACUAUUAUCACACUAUUCAGUGUACAUAAUCAUUUUCUCUCCGAACACUACAACUGUUUUGAGUCGAGAAGCAAUAAUAAAGAAACUUUUCAAACUAAGAGCGUGAAGCCAAUUAAUAUA